UGAUAACUAAAAACCCCAAGACUCUCUUUCUCCGUCGAACGCCAUAGGAACCUUCCAUCUCCUCUCCUACACCAUGUGGUGCCUCCCUUCCCUCACCCCAGAUCCGUCGCGGCACCCUCCGACUUACACAAUUCUUCUUCUUCUUCUUCCUCUGCUUCGAUGGCCACUGUGCAACUCCAAUCCCUAACCCUUGUUCACUCUUUCGCACUCCCUUCUGCCACCUUCUCCCCUCUGAUCGCCGUCUCCUGCCCCCGCAACUCCGCUGCGCUACGCCGGCCUCCGGCUCUAGAACCGCUCCUCGCGGUGGAGGUGUCAAGUGCGAGGCAGGAGACACCGUUGUUGAAGCAAAGGCAUAGAAGAGGAUUGAAGAAAUGAAGUAUCGCACUUAGCGCGACCUCUUCGUUUAGCGAAUCAGAACCAUUCAGUCCAAGCAAUCUGCUUGGUGCAUGAAGCCACAUUAGAAGAUAGAUGUUGCGCGCAUCUUGCAACUUAGGACGUGACCACUUAAUCCAGUUGAACAUGCGCGCUCAGUGCGAACGUCGCACUAUGCGCACAAGAAAGUUCUGAUUGACCAAUCAAUUGGUGGAGUAUUUAAAAGGAAUGAAACAUUCAAAACAAAUACUCGGCAACGGAGAAAGCCAAGAAGCAAAGGAGUAGGAAGCAAAAAAGUCAUUGUUGAAGGGAAUCCAUUUCUAAAGCUCUGGUCGAUCCGUUUCACUCUAUUUCUCUUCCAUUUUCUUUCAUCUCAUCUCAUCUCAUCUUUUAUGUUUGUAGGUCUCUCAUUACAAUUUGAGGCUAAAAUCACACGUUGUUGGAAGCUCUGCAAACUAAAUCCUCUUUGAUGUAAUAAUUCUAAACUAUUUAUUAAUAUGAUAUUGAUAUUCUUGUUCUUUCAUGUGCUCAUUCA